AUCAGGAUGACGAGUCCAAAAUAGGACGAAAUACACGUCCUGGAU
rnacentral:hammerhead_ribozyme from 1 species